GGAAACUCUUCCAAGUUUGGAAGAUACCAACAUUUUUUGAGCUCUGCUCAGAUAACAUGAAGAAAGCAUGUUCAGAGUGCUUCACAGCUGUGUCCCACACUUCCCCCUGUGGUCUGCAGAACCCAGCUCUCAACUGUGUUCAUCAAACUCCUCAGUGAUCCCCAUCGAUAGUGUGUGCCCUUGCCCAGGUGUGCCAGGCCGCCUUCCAGUCAUUCUGCCCAAGCCAGGCUGCUCUGUACACUCUGGAGGAUGGCACCCCGAGCAUCAGGCCACUGAGCCAAGAAGUGGAGUCUAACUUUGCCUCUGGCUUACCCAGGCCCAGCAGCUGUAGUGCCGCCUUAGCCGAGUGAGCUCUAGCCAGGAUGCUUGGCACCGCCAGCCCCCGUCACCUCAAGCAUCCACCUAGAAUCCAGCAACGAUCUCAUCUCCAGCUUUAGUAAUAGUGACCUUCUGGGCAAGAUGGAAGAUUAGAGCUUUAAUUAUGUAAAGAAGCAAAAAGUAAUUGCAAUAACGAUUUGGAAACAUGACUGCCGGGUUAUAAAUAAUGAAGCUACCACGUCUCCUCAGUUCAGAUAAAAUAUUCAUUCAGGGUGGUGAUUAAAUAA
rnacentral:lncRNA from 1 species